GCACCGGUGGUGCAUGGUGCACGCUGCCCUUCAAUAGUGUUCUGUUUAUAUUCCAGGCAGACUGGGGUUCGAUUCCCCGCCGGUGCA